CUUGACACUGAACAUUGAGCCUUGAUGUGUAGGAUAGGUGGGAGGCUUUGAAGUGUGGACGCCAGUCUGCAUGGAGCCGACCUUGAAAUACCACCCUUUAAUGUUUGAUGUUCUAACGUGGACCCGUAAUCCGGGUUGCGGACAGUGUCUGGUGGGUAGUUUGACUGGGGCGGUCUCCUCCUAAAGAGUAACGGAGGAGCACGAAGGUUGGCUAAUCCUGGUCGGACAUCAGGAGGUUAGUGCAAUGGCAUAAGCCAGCUUGACUGCGAGCGUGACGGCGCGAGCAGGUGCGAAAGCAGGUCAUAGUGAUCCGGUGGUUCUGAAUGGAAGGGCCAUCGCUCAACGGAUAAAAGGUACUCCGGGGAUAACAGGCUGAUACCGCCCAAGAGUUCAUAUCGACGGCGGUGUUUGGCACCUCGAUGUCGGCUCAUCACAUCCUGGGGCUGAAGUAGGUCCCAAGGGUAUGGCUGUUCGCCAUUUAAAGUGGUACGCGAGCUGGGUUUAGAACGUCGUGAGACAGUUCGGUCCCUA
rnacentral:rRNA from 1 species